UACGUAGGGUCCGAGCGUUGUCCGGAAUUAUUGGGCGUAAAGAGCUCGUAGGCGGUUUGUCGCGUCUGCUGUGAAAUCCCGAGGCUCAACCUCGGGCCUGCAGUGGGUACGGGCAGACUGGAGUGCGGUAGGGGAGAAUGGAAUUCCUGGUGUAGCGGUGGAAUGCGCAGAUAUCAGGAGGAACACCGAUGGCGAAGGCAGUUCUCUGGGCCGUAACUGACGCUGAGGAGCGAAAGCGUGGAGAGCGAACAGG
rnacentral:rRNA from 1 species